rnacentral:misc_RNA from 1 species
AACGGUCUAUACCUGCGGUACCUGCGGAAGGAUCAUUACCGAGUGAGGGUUCCCUCGUGGGCCCAACCUCCCACCCGUGUUUAUUGUACCCCGUUGCUUCGGCGGUUGCCCCCCCCGGGGGGUUCCGCCGGAGACCAACUUGAACCCUGUAUGAGAGUAUUGUAGUCUGAGUCGAUUGAUACCAAUCAGUUAAAACUUUUAACAAUGGAUCUCU